UAGGGAAUCUUCGGCAAUGGGGGGAACCCUGACCGAGCAACGCCGCGUGAGUGAAGAAGGUUUUCGGAUCGUAAAGCUCUGUUGUUAAGGAAGAACGAGUGUGAGAAUGGAAAGUUCAUGCUGUGACGGUACUUAACCAGAAAGGGACGGCUAACUACGUGCCAGCAGCCGCGGUAAUACGUAGGUCCCGAGCGUUGUCCGGAUUUAUUGGGCGUAAAGCGAGCGCAGGCGGUUAGAAAAGUCUGAAGUGAAAGGCAGUGGCUCAACCAUGGUAGGCUGUGGAAACUGUUUAACGUGAAUGCAGAAGAAGAGAGUGGAAUUCCAGGUGUAGCGGUGAAAUGCGUAGAUAUAUGAGGGAACACCGGUGGAGAAAGCGGCGCUCUGGUCAGUAACUGACGCUGAGGCUAGAAAGCGUGGGGAGCGAACAGG
rnacentral:rRNA from 1 species